ACGAACGCUGGCGGCACGCUUAACACAUGCAAGUCGAACGAGAGAAGAGAAGCUUGCUUUUCUGAUCUAGUGGCGGACGGGUGAGUAACACGUGAGCAAUCUGCCUUUCAGAGGGGGAUACCGAUUGGAAACGAUCGUUAAUACCGCAUAACAUAAUUGAACCGCAUGAUUUGAUUAUCAAAGAUUUAUCGCUGAAAGAUGAGCUCGCGUCUGAUUAGCUAGUUGGUAAGGUAACGGCUUACCAAGGCGACGAUCAGUAGCCGGACUGAGAGGUUGAUCGGCCACAUUGGGACUGAGACACGGCCCAGACUCCUACGGGAGGCAGCAGUGGGGAAUAUUGCACAAUGGAGGAAACUCUGAUGCAGCGAUGCCGCGUGAGGGAAGAAGGUUUUAGGAUUGUAAACCUCUGUCUUCAGGGACGAAAAAUGACGGUACCUGAGGAGGAAGCUCCGGCUAACUACGUGCCAGCAGCCGCGGUAAUACGUAGGGAGCGAGCGUUGUCCGGAAUUACUGGGUGUAAAGGGAGCGUAGGCGGGAUCGCAAGUCAGAUGUGAAAACUAUGGGCUUAACCCAUAAACUGCAUUUGAAACUGUGGUUCUUGAGUGAAGUAGAGGUAAGCGGAAUUCCUAGUGUAGCGGUGAAAUGCGUAGAUAUUAGGAGGAACAUCAGUGGCGAAGGCGGCUUACUGGGCUUUAGCUGACGCUGAGGCUCGAAAGCGUGGGGAGCAAACAGGAUUAGAUACCCUGGUAGUCCACGCCGUAAACGAUGAUUACUAGGUGUGGGGGGACUGACCCCUUCCGUGCCGCAGCAAACGCAAUAAGUAAUCCACCUGGGGAGUACGACCGCAAGGUUGAAACUCAAAGGAAUUGACGGGGGCCCGCACAAGCAGUGGAGUAUGUGGAUUAAUUCGAAGCAACGCGAAGAACCUUACCAGGUCUUGACAUCGUAUGCAUAGCUCAGAGAUGAGUGAAAUCUCUUCGGAGACAUAUAGACAGGUGGUGCAUGGUUGUCGUCAGCUCGUGUCGUGAGAUGUUGGGUUAAGUCCCGCAACGAGCGCAACCCUUACUGUUAGUUGCUACGCAAGAGCACUCUAGCAGGACUGCCGUUGACAAAACGGAGGAAGGUGGGGAUGACGUCAAAUCAUCAUGCCCCUUAUGACCUGGGCCUCACACGUACUACAAUGGCUGUCAACAGAGGGAAGCAAAGCCGCGAGGUGGAGCAAACCCCUAAAAGCAGUCUUAGUUCGGAUUGUAGGCUGCAACCCGCCUACAUGAAGUCGGAAUUGCUAGUAAUCGCAGAUCAGCAUGCUGCGGUGAAUACGUUCCCGGGCCUUGUACACACCGCCCGUCACGCCAUGGGAGUCGGUAACACCCGAAGCCUGUAGUCUAACCGCAAGGAGGACGCAGUCGAAGGUGGGAUUGAUGACUGGGGUG
rnacentral:rRNA from 1 species